rnacentral:rRNA from 1 species
UGGGGAAUAUUGCACAAUGGGCGAAAGCCUGAUGCAGCAACGCCGCGUGAGUGAUGACGGCCUUCGGGUUGUAAAGCUCUGUCUUUGGGGACGAUAAUGACGGUACCCAAGGAGGAAGCCACGGCUAACUACGUGCCAGCAGCCGCGGUAAUACGUAGGUGGCAAGCGUUGUCCGGAUUUACUGGGCGUAAAGGGUGCGUAGGCGGACCUUUAAGUGAGAUGUGAAAUCCCCGAGCUUAACUUGGGGGCUGCAUUUCAAACUGGAGGUCUAGAGUGCAGGAGAGGAGGGUGGAAUUGCUAGUGUAGCGGUGAAAUGCGUAGAGAUUAGGAAGAACACCAGUGGCGAAGGCGACUCUCUGGACUGUAACUGACGCUGAGGAACGAAAGCGUGGGGAGCAAACAG